rnacentral:tRNA from 1 species
GGCAACAUGGCCGAGCGGUCUAUGGCGCUAGCUUCAGGUGCUAGUAUCGAAAGAUGCGUGGGUUCGAAUCCCACUGUUGUCA